UACAGAGGGUGCGAGCGUUGUCCGGAAUCACUGGGCGUAAAGCGUGUGUAGGCGGAUCGUUAAGUACCUUGUGAAAUCCCACGGCUCAACCGUGGAACUGCUGGGUAUACUGGCGAUCUUGAGCCACCUAGGGGCGAGCGGAACAAGCGGUGGAGCGGUGAAAUGCGUAGAUAUCGCUUGGAACGCCAAUGGUGAAAACAGCUCGCUGGGGGUGUGCUGACGCUGAGACACGAAAGCCAGGGGAGCGAACGGG
rnacentral:rRNA from 1 species